GAUGAACGCUGGCGGCGUGCCUAAUACAUGCAAGUCGAGCGAAUGGAUUAAGAGCUUGCUCUUAUGAAGUUAGCGGCGGACGGGUGAGUAACACGUGGGUAACCUGCCCAUAGACUGGGAUAACUCCGGGAAACCGGGGCUAAUACCGGAUAACAUUUUGAACCGCAUGGUUCGAAAUUGAAAGGCGGCUUCGGCUGUCACUUAUGGAUGGACCCGCGUCGCAUUAGCUAGUUGGUGAGGUAACGGCUCACCAAGGCAACGAUGCGUAGCCGACCUGGGAGGGGGAUCGGCCACACUGGGACUGAGACACGGCCCAGACUCCUACGGGAGGCAGCAGUAGGGAAUCUUCUGCAAUGGACGAAAGUCUGACGGAGCAACGCCGCGUGAGUGAUGAAGGCUUUCGGGUCGUAAAACUCUGUUGUUAGGGAAGAACAAGUGCUAGUUGAGUAAGCUGGCACCUUGACGGUACCUAACCAGAAAGCCACGGCUAACUACGUGCCAGCCGCCGCUGUAA
rnacentral:rRNA from 1 species